rnacentral:rRNA from 1 species
CAGGCUUAACACAUGCAAGUCGAGGGGCAGCAUGGUCUUAGCUUGCUAAGGCCGAUGGCGACCGGCGCACGGGUGAGUAACACGUAUCCAACCUGCCGUCUACUCUUGGACAGCCUUCUGAAAGGAAGAUUAAUACAAGAUGGCAUCAUGAGUCCGCAUGUUCACAUGAUUAAAGGUAUUCCGGUAGACGAUGGGGAUGCGUUUCAUUAGAUAGUAGGCGGGGUAACGGCCCACCUAGUCUUCGAUGGAUAGGGGUUCUGAGAGGAAGGUCCCCCACAUUGGAACUGAGACACGGUCCAAACUCCUACGGGAGGCAGCAGUGAGGAAUAUUGGUCAAUGGGCGAGAGCCUGAACCAGCCAAGUAGCGUGAAGGAUGACUGCCCUAUGGGUUGUAAACUUCUUUUAUAAAGGAAUAAAGUCGGGUAUGGAUACCCGUUUGCAUGUACUUUAUGAAUAAGGAUCGGCUAACUCCGUGCCAGCAGCCGCGGUAAUACGGAGGAUCCGAGCGUUAUCCGGAUUUAUUGGGUUUAAAGGGAGCGUAGAUGGAUGUUUAAGUCAGUUGUGAAAGUUUGCGGCUCAACCGUAAAAUUGCAGUUGAUACUGGAUAUCUUGAGUGCAGUUGAGGCAGGCGGAAUUCGUGGUGUAGCGGUGAAAUGCUUAGAUAUCACGAAGAACUCCGAUUGCGAAGGCAGCCUGCUAAGCUGCAACUGACAUUGAGGCUCGAAAGUGUGGGUAUCAAACAGGAUUAGAUACCCUGGUAGUCCACACGGUAAACGAUGAAUACUCGCUGUUUGCGAUAUACAGCAAGCGGCCAAGCGAAAGCGUUAAGUAUUCCACCUGGGGAGUACGCCGGCAACGGUGAAACUCAAAGGAAUUGACGGGGGCCCGCACAAGCGGAGGAACAUGUGGUUUAAUUCGAUGAUACGCGAGGAACCUUACCCGGGCUUAAAUUGCAGAUGAAUUACGGUGAAAGCCGUAAGCCGCAAGGCAUCUGUGAAGGUGCUGCAUGGUUGUCGUCAGCUCGUGCCGUGAGGUGUCGGCUUAAGUGCCAUAACGAGCGCAACCCUUGUUGUCAGUUACUAACAGGUUCCGCUGAGGACCCUGACAAGACUGCCAUCGUAAGAUGUGAGGAAGGUGGGGAUGACGUCAAAUCAGCACGGCCCUUACGUCCGGGGCUACACACGUGUUACAAUGGGGGGUACAGAGGGCCGCUACCACGCGAGUGGAUGCCAAUCUCCAAAACCUCUCUCAGUUCGGACUGGAGUCUGCAACCCGACUCCACGAAGCUGGAUUCGCUAGUAAUCGCGCAUCAGCCACGGCGCGGUGAAUACGUUCCCGGGCCUUGUACACACCGCCCGUCAAGCCAUGGGAGCCGGGGGUACCUGAAGUGCGUAACCGCGAGGAGCGCCCUAGGGUAAAACUGGUGACUGGGGCUAAGUC